AUACCUGUUCGAGCGUCAUUACACCCCUCAAAGUUAACUCUUUGGCGUUGGGCAGUGCCUAAAGGCAUGCCUUAAAAUCAGCGAUGGUGAUAUUCAACCGCAGGUGCACAAACGUCGUCUAGCUGGGGGAAUGUUGGCAGUCAAUUGAUGAAUUUCUAAAUGUUGACCUCGGAUCAGGUAGGAUUACCCGCUGAACUUAA
rnacentral:misc_RNA from 1 species